UAAACCUGAAAAUAUGUGGUUUGGUCACAUCUUCACUCCUCAUCUUCGUAAGUGCAGCCACUGAAAUUGUUUCCUAACAUAGAAGGGAAGGAAGCUUUAGCAUGUUCAUUCUUGCAAGAGAUCGGAGCUAUAGCGAAAUCAAACUGCAUGUGGCUUUUGUUGUUCAUCUCUCUCUACUCCACGAGGUAAUGAAUGUUACAAGUUACUUUGGAGCAACCCUUGGAAGAGUCGCUAACCGGAUUGGUGGUGCUCAAUUUACUAUGAAUGGAACGAUUUAUAAGCUUCUUCCUAAUGAAAGCAAAAACAUAAUACAUGGUAGCUGUAAAGGAUUUAACAAUUUUUUCUGGAAGGUGACAAAGUAUGUGCAAGAUUGACAUAACUCUAACCUACUUCGGUGUUGAUGGUGAAGAAGAGAUGCACCAUCCUUCUCUAGCAAUAGAAUGGUACAUUAUGAGCCCAUCAUGCAAGAAGUAUACAGAGGGAGGUCGAUGUAACAACUCGAAGAAUUAUGGAUAUUGGGAACCUUGUUGAACAGAUUCUCUCAUCCACAAGGAUGGUAAGCUGAUUGGUUAUCGGAAAACUGUAAACUACAUUGAGGGGAAGCUUGAGAAGGAUAGGAAGCAGACUGAAUGGAUAAUGCAUGAAUACAAACUUGAUAGGGGAAGAGAAGUUAGAACUGCUAUUACUUCUGACGACAUACAUGUAUGGUACUUUACUUAUUUUAAAUUAAGUGAAAGGAAAUACUUAGUUGUAAGAGUUGGGAAUUUCGGUAUACAUAAAGGUCUUGCAAGCUCGACCAUUUUUCUUUGCUCAGAAAUUAUACUACCGAACCAGAUAUUCAAAGUAUCCUUGCUAUCAAAGGCAAAAUCUGGUGGGGUGUCAAAUACAAAUCUACUCAUAUCAUCAUUUGGUGGGCCUUUGAACUCUAGCAAGUUGACGAAUAACCCGAAGCGGGGCAUAGGGUUGGACACCUCUAAGCCCAAUCAACACAAGAGACGAGAUACUAGUAGACAUGCAAAUGACAUCCUUAGCUGGGAACUCGUAAAUAAUUCCAUACAAUUUCAUCACACAUGAUUUCCGACAGUUUUUCUUCACAUGCUAAAAUUUGUUUUGAAAAAUAUGAGAGGAUACAUAAUUACACCAGUUAGGAGUGAACCUACGCGCACAAUUAUGAUGAUAAAGAUGAUCCAAAACCAUAUUUGUAGCAAGAUAUUGCAGCCUUCAAAGUACGUUUCCCCAUUUUUGCAUUUAGUCAAUGCACAUAACAUUUCUGCUAGAAUUAUGGGAAUAAUAGUAGGAUUUUCCAUUGUUGUUGGCGCCUUUACCAUUCCAGUCAAGCGAAUGUCGAUAUACUUAUCCCGCUUAGAGAAAAAAAUGAGCCCCAAAAAUGCAACCAUGAAGGCAAAGCACCCAUUUACUUUCCAAGCCUCUAUGCUCCCUUGAUUGCUAAGUUGGUUCUAGUAGUUUUUAAAUACAUCCCUUUGACCAUACCUCUCAUAUAGAAAGUCCAAAGAGAUCCACCCAUUAUUCAAACUCUCCUUCUCUAUUUAGUUGAUCUUGAGUAGGUUCAGGAACUUGUUGCCAUCAAUGUUCUUUGGGAUUAUGGGUCUUUUAUUGUGGAGAUCAGUGCCCCGAAAAUUGGAUCCUUUUCCCAUGAAGCUAGCAAUUUCCUCCAGAGUUGGUGUCAUUUUAAAGUCGGAGAGUCGAAACACGUAUUUUUUGGAUCCCAGAAAGGAAUAAUUGUCUCGAUCACAUCUCUUCUUGGGUCAAUCUCCAUCAAAUGCAUAAGAUGUCACAAAUGUUCUUUUACCCUUCUUUGCUCAUAAUUUCCCAAACUUGUCCACCAUCGACAUAGAUCAUUAGGUAUCGUGUCAACAAUCAUGCAUUAUGAAAUUUCUUCACUUUUAGGCCUUUUAUAACCCUAUCCUUUAGUUGGAGGUUCCAUUCGUACCUUUGGAUAAAAGCUAAUUAAGGUUAUAUCUUGGAGAACACAAACUAUAAUCAAAGGAGGAAGAAAAAGGAAACACCAAGAUAAUUUUUUUUGUGAAAAAAAAGAACACAAAAUACUCUCUACUUUUUUACAAACACCGAAUCAGAGAAGGGAUGGCUAAGUAUCUCAUUUUAGUGACAAUCAGGUGUGGGUAGUUCAUAAAAUAAAUGACUCACACUUCAAAGACCCUUUUUCAACCUUUUUCCCCAUUUUUUUUUUAAAAAUAAAAUUGAAAGACAUAGUUAUUAUAAAGCUGGUCAACAAUAUAUAUGCCUUCUAAACAAAUUAUUUUCAUGUAGCAGAUAAAAUGAACAUGUUGGUCUAGAGUCGGUGUAACCACCCGAACCGUCGUUAUUUAGGAAUAGCAAAAUAUCGGGGAAAUGCUGGGGCACUGUUCUGCCAAUGCGGGCCAGAUGCCGCUAGGGCAGCAGCGCCACAAUGAGGUAAGUAGCCGCCUGAGCAGGAUAGGCGAGACAAAAUGUAAAUAACGCGAAGUCUGAUUUUCUCUUUUUUCCCAAAACACCUAAUUUAGGCGUAAAUCACCCCAAAAACCCACCAAAAGCUGCUCUAAGCUUAGGAAGGGAGGAGAAAGAGAAUUCUGGCAUAAGGAGGUCGAAAAUAUGUGGGUUCUUGAGCAAAUUCACCGUCCUGUCGUCCAAAAUCCAAAAUUGGAAUUAUAACUCCGUGCAACUGCUUGGCUCCCAGGUAGGCUAGGUUUAUUAAUUUAGUAGUUAUAAACUUGUGCUCACUACAUAGUAUAAUGUUAAUCAAUGGUAGGAUUUAUGCGUAAGCCUUCGUGCACCCAAGAAAAGAUGACUAAAUCGUAGGAGGAAACCUUAGACGAUGAGCUAGGGUGAGGUGAUGUUCGUGAUGUCAUGUUGUGUGAUAUAUGUUUGUUCUUGCUUCAUUAUAAUACAUGUAUGUAUGCGAAUGUUACAUUAUUGUUACACUAAUCGUAGAUGAGGAUAGACAAAUAAUUGAAUGUAAUGAAUAAUGACUUGAUUGUAUGAUUAUGAGAAUAUACUUGUGAUUGUGAUUGUGAUUGUGGCUUUUUGAAUGGAUCGGGUGUUAUGUUCCGACACACUAACUGGGACCGGUUGCCACGUACCUGCAUAAAUAUUGGAACGAGUGUCACGAUCAAACACACUAACAUAGAAUGGGUACCACAUACCAGUAUACUAACAGUUUGGGUGUGGGUUCCAUGAGAUGACCAUUGACUUGCCAUAUAUGUGUAAUUGCUCGUAUUACUGAUAAUGUGGAAUUGGGCAUGUUUCCUGAAAGGAUUGGUGGAUUGUACAUUAUGUUCUUAUAUGUGGGGAUUGUGAUGUUGUAAGUUAUUGGAGAUAUCGGGUGGUGUAAUGAAUUGUGAAUGUUAAAUAUAAACAGAUAGUAAGCCUCUAUAGGCGUAACGCGGGGUCAUAAGUUGAGUAGAGACGAGUAAAACGUAAGGGUGUGUCAUGAGUGGUUGGUCGGGUUGGUAGUAGUAUUUUCGAGACUUUCUUAAGGAAUUAAUUGAUUAGGUAUAAACACAAACGAAGAAGUGAGGGGUUAGAGGCAACUGAAUUAGUAUGAUAUUAAUAUUCGGAAGGGUAAUGGCAGUCAAAAUAUAAAGGUGGAGGAGGGAUUAGUCUUAUUGCAUAUUUCGCCAGUUGAUUUAUUAUAUUAUGCGGUGGGUAUUCGGGUUGACCGAUGAUGCCUACCAGUA